rnacentral:lncRNA from 13 species
GAUGAGGGGAGGAAAGAAGUGAGAGGAGAGGCGUGAGGGGCAGAGGGGGAGGAGACAAGGGGAGAAUGAUGAGGGGAGGAAAGAAGUGAGAGGAGAGGCGUGAGGGGCAGAGGGGGAGGAGACAAGGGGAGAGUGAUGAGGGGAGGAAAGAAGUGAGAGGAGAGGCGUGAGGGGCAGAGGGGGAGGAGACAAGGGGAGAGUGAUCAGGGGAGGAAAGAAGGGGUGGAGAGACAGUCAGUAGUUUUAAUCAUUUUAAUAAUAAUUCUCGGUACCCUCUAAUUAUCCUCCAUUGAAUAUUCCCUCUUAUGAGAAACGAUUGUGGUUGUUUGUCCCUUCAAAAUCUAAAUGGAGAGACAGAUGGAGAGAGAAGGGGAGAGAGAGGAAGAUAAGGGGUAGAAGAAAGAGAAGGAGGAAGAUAAGGGGUAAAAGAGAGAAGGUGGAGAGAGGAAGAGAGAGAAGGGGGAGAGAGGAAGAGAGUGAAGGGGGAAGGGAGUGAAUGGGUAGACGAGAGAAGGAGGGAGAUGAGGGUUCAGCAUGUUCAGUCACUAUGUUUCAGACCCUUUAAUUAAAUGGUCCUACUUGUCAAUCAAUGUGCGUUAACUCAGCUGCUAAGCACACUACCCCCCAUCUCAUUUUCUCUCUUUCCAUCUAAUUCUCUACCUCUCCAUCUCUCUCUCGCUAUAUCUCCCGUGAUCUCUCUCUCAUUCUAUCUCUACAUCUCUUCCCUCUCUCUCUCUUCCUCUGUGUCUCUCCAUCUCUCGUUUUAUGUCUAGAUGUUGAAGCGUUCUGGAGCAUGGUUCUUUAAGGGCCAACCCCAGCAAGUCCUCCCUGCUCCCCUGCCCAUCUCCAGGCCCAGAGGGACAGGUACAGAGAGCCCCCGUACCCAGACCCCUACCCAUGCCCAUCACCAGCCCAGUGCCCAGCCCUAUCCCCGUACCCAGACCCCUACCCAUGCCCAUCACCAGCCCAGUGCCCAGCCCAGCUACCAGCCAGACCCUGGUACAGAGGACUACACAGAGCGGCAGGAGCAGCAAGAUAACUCCUAUUCCAACAUACAAAACCAAGAGCCCACUGAUGAGCCCCCAUACUCCAGUUCGGAGCAACAGGACCCAGAGGGCAAUAGCUCUGCUCAGACACUAGAGGGUGUUGCUGAGGCCCAGGUUAGCCCUGCCGUGGUGGAGGAGGUGGUGAAGAUGGAAAGACAGUUAGGCUCCAAACCUCCCACAGCCAGGGGAAGAGAGAACCCACCAGCUCCAGCUGACACAGUCACAGCACAGGGUAUGAUUAAAGGGACAUUUCACCCAAAUUACAAAAUGACAUAUGUGUUGCCUUCUCCCCUCUGAAAGCAGUCAAUAGAUAAGAAGAAACAACUUUGGUUUUGUUAACCUACCAAUUGCCACCAAUGACUAACUUGCAUAAUCGGUUCUACUUUGAAAUUGAGACUGGCUAGAUAUCUGUAUUUCUCUUCGUUAGCCCCUGCACCACAGAAGAGCAGAUGCCCACAGCAGAGAGAGGAGAGAGCGCCACCUCUAGUCAGGGAGGAGAAACCCACUCCUGCCCCCAAACCCAGCAUGGAACCACGCACAGGCCCCGCUCCCAACGAAGACAAUGACAACGAAUACGACUCUGAUGAAACCAGUAAGUGAGUGUGUGUGUGUGUGUUUGGUUUUACUAUCCUUGUGGGGACCAGAUAGUAAAACAAGGAACAUUUGAAUGU